rnacentral:lncRNA from 1 species
UUUUAAACUGAUAAUUUUGCUUGUGGUCUACCAUUUGAUGAAUUUAUUUAUGGUCCAUCAUAUCAAGAACACAAGAUACGAUCAUAAUGUUAAUAGACUACUGGUGUUGAUUCUAAGAGAUAUGUUUGACUAUAAUCAAGAGAAUGCGAGAAAAAACG